CACUUGCUACUGGAUACAUUUUUUAUACAACAUCUCACUAUUAACUUGGUUUUAGCCUCUAAAUUGCAAUGUAUCCUGUGUAAAUAGGACAUUUCCUUAUUAUACAUUUGUCAAAUACUGCCCCCCAGUGACUGUAUGAUGUUUAAAAAGAGGAUUUGCUUCAACGAACAAAAUGCUGCACACUGCAGUCAUUAAUCACUCUGUACAUGAGAGAGAAAGCUGCAAACCACUUUUGAGAAGCACCUGCUUCCUGUGUUUUCAGACGUCAGCAUCUGAUAAAAAUCCAACAAAUUGCAAUCUGAAAUCGUACCACAGCGAGCUUUCUUUGUGUUCCAAAUAUUGAACUAACUUUACAAGCCAAGCUGAUAAUUUCAGUUUUUUUCUCAUUUGCUCAUUUUUUUUUAAACUCUUUUCACAAAUGCUGCAAAUCUACAAGCGUUAUAUUAUAAUGAGCCAUUUUUCUUUUAUAUAUUUUUGUUUUUCUGCUGGACUCACCGUACUGUUUUGUCUUAGGAUUCUUGAUGAGUAUAAGGACUGCAGCCAAAUGGGUCUUGAUCAUUGCAAAAUAGAUUACUGCUCAGAUAACGACAAGGUUGACCAUAAGAACGCUCCGACUGGGCCUUUGUGGGAUCAUGACCAUGGGAAAAUCAGUGUGGAUAAAAAUAAGAUUGUUCCUGUUCUAAAAGUGGCUUGGAAAUUACAGGGUGAUGGAUCUGUUCUCGCCGUCCGUGGAUCAGAGAUAAAUAUUGUGGAUAAAAACGAAAAUCAAAGCUUGUGUGUGAAGUUUUCUUACAAACUUGAAGGAUUCAGACCAUUAGAUAAAACAGACGUCGAGAAAGACAGAAGGUGGAACUUUUCCUUGGAUGUUGUCGUAGAGCCAAAACAUAACUAUAUCGUGACAGUUUCCAAUUUGCCUGAAUCUAACAGUGGAAACCGGAUUGAAAGGCCAAUUAUCAUCCCAGGAUGUAAUGAUGAGACAAUUCAGUGGGCUCAAGUGUGUCAGGAAAAUGGCAGUCUGUGGACUCCCAAAAUUUCUGUGUCCAUUGAGAGGGAGCCUAAAAUUUCCAUUGUUGUGGCGUUUGCGACAGCACAGUAUUCAGAGAGAUUCCAGGUUUCCAUCAAGAAUGGUGAUCUCAGUUUCUCAAAAAACAUUUCAAAGGAAAACAGGACAUCUCUGAACGUGACAUUCGAGUUUGAUUCGUCUCAGCUCUCAGAAUGUGAACUGCUGGUAAUGAUACAGCCAUUUUUCAUAGGCUGCAAAGAUGAUUGUGAGAGAGCCGAGAAAACAGUAGAUUACUGCAAAAAUAUUCCAGCAAGGCCCUAUCUUAUAGAGACAUGUGUGGGGCUGCUGAUUGUUGGAGGUGGUUGUCUUGCCUUUUUGCUAUGGAGAACCUCUCAUAAAGAUCAUCUGAACACAUCGUCAUCUGCUGCUAAAGAACAACCAGGUGUUUUUCAAGUUCAAGAGAGAAAACGCGUCCUUAUCAUCUACUCACUCGACCAUCCUUUAUACAAAAACAUCGUUCUCAAGUUCUCCGCCUUCCUGGCAACAAAAUGUGGUACUGAAGUGGUCUUGGACCUGCUGGAUUCGACCAGAUUGGGAGUGUUGGGAAGCAUCCAGUGGUUAGAUUGGCACAAAAAACAAAUAGAAAACUCCUCAGAUAAGAUAUUAAUUCUUUGCUCACGAGGAGUACAAGCCAAAUGGAGAGCCAUGUGUGGUGCCAAAACAGUUUUUCUAAGAGAAGACACCCGCUCACCUGUUGGUGACAUGCUUACUCCAUCCCUUACUCUCCUCCUCCCUCAUUUCAUCCGCUCUGCUUCAUAUAAAAAGUACAUUGUGGCUUACUUUGAUGACAUUUCUUCAGAAGAAGAUAUUCCUUCCCCUUUUAAUAUUACAGUACGAUACCAACUAAUGAAACAGUUCGAGGAGGUCUUUUUUAGAAUCUUGGACACAGAAAAACAUGAACCAGGCCGAGUGAAGAAAAUCGAUGGCCUUUCAGAGACCAGUUACCAUCAGUGCCCCUCAGGUAGAGCCCUGCGCGAUGCUAUAGAGGCUUUCCAUGCACAUCAGCUGGAGAAUCCACAGUGGUUUGAGGAUGAAAUACUGGAAAACCCAGAUUUAGAGGAUGAGAUGACCAAUGAUGAAGCUAAUGAAGACUUAACAAUAAUUCAAAGCUUCUCAACCUACUGUCUUUUAGACUCAAACCAACACGUCAGUCAUACAGAGACACAAGAAAAUGGUUUCACUGCAAAUAAAACCAGUCCUCAGCUGGCUGAAACACAUAAGAUGUGCUUGACAUUUGAGUUUAACCCUGACCUUGUUGAGGGUGGCAGAGUCAGCUGCUUUAGUUAGGUUGUCUCUGGAUCUGAAGAUUUUUAUGACUGAGUAAAAUAUCACGUGUUACAUGCAGAAUAUACACUAAAUGAUCUACGUCAAUAUUUCACACAUAUAUAUUGCUUUUAUGUUCAGUUCUUCAUAUUUUCGAUUUCUGUUCUGCAUGCUGCAUUAUGUCGGUAUGUCACAUUAUUAUCACUGUUUUCAGUUAGAAGCCAGUUUCAGAGAGACAGCAGAACCCUGUGGUUGUUGGCUGCAGGCUGUGUAAACAGUUUUUGGGUCAAAGUUCAGCCUUCUGGGCAAAGUUUGUAGCUUUUUGUGGCUUUGGAGAAGGUAAGCGCUUAACUUUUUAUAUAAAUGACUGACCAAAUGAAAUGAGCUGUGGACUUUUUAUAUAUCAUAGCGCAGGCAUGCAGGGUAAAUAUUAUCUCCCUCCUAUAAAAAACAAGUUUAUGUUAACAUGUGAUUGUGGUAUAUUUUGACAUGCUUUAGAGCAGCUUUUGAUUUACACAAGAUUUAAGUUUAAGUUUUAAGUAUAAAUGAAUGGAUGUGUUUGUAUUCACAUAUUUUUUCAUCCUUUCACUUAAAGUCAUCAUAUUUUAGAUUAAAGGCAGUCUUUCCAGUGUUGGAAUAAAAUGAGUCUUAUGGGCUUAAAUGUGGAUGCGUGUCUUUGUGAUAUUGUGUUAGCAGGUUUUAGUGCAUGGUAAAGUAGGAGAAGAAGCUUAUUUGUUUACUUGUAAGAGUGGCCCCAAAAGGGGAGAGGAUGGUGGGAAUUUGUGCCAGCUAACUGGGGCAAAGAAAAUCCUCACAAUGGGUGAAUAGGACUCCAGCUCUACAGUGGCAAAGCACUGCACGUUGAGAUACAACUUGGGAACACAUGUAAACAUUUUCCUUGGAGAACAUGAGGUAAAGUUGUUUUUUAUUUUGAUAAUUACUAGACUUCAUCGUGAUGAAUAUAGAUAAACAAUAUUUAAACUGGGCACAUCCUUUUCACAUUUUAAGCAAAUAAACAAGCCAAACAAAACAUAUUUUUAUUUAUACUAGUAACAGUAAUAUUUUAAUAGAUGUUGAAGAGGUGAUGUCUCUAGACUGCUGUUUUUUUGUUUAGUUUUUUUUUUAGAGAUUUGUGUGUUAAACCAUCAUUAAACUUCGUUUUAACUUCGUUUAAACAUUUAGACUUUUUUCAUUUUAAUCUCAUUCUUGCUUUGAGAAGACAGUAUUACCACCCACCUACCUCUCAAGUCAAGUAAAGAGCCAGCAUUUGUUGUCUUGUUGAGAAGAAAACUGAGUUGGGACCACUGGGAUUCAUUCACUAAAACACAUUGUCAUGAAACAGUGAAAACGAAUUGAUUUACUCAGAUUUAUUGGAAGGAGAUAAACUGCUAAUGCUGCUCCAGUCAAAUCUAUCAUUUUAUCAGGGUUUCCCAUCAAAUCUGAACACAAUGAGAAUCCUGAAGAGAGCUUCUACGCUCAUCCUAAGAGGAAUUAACACACUUUGCAACAAGGAUUUACUCUUCAAAGUUCACCCAUCUGUGUCUCAGGCUUUGGCAGAAAACAAACCAGUGGUUGCACUUGAGAGCACUAUUAUUACACAUGGCAUGCCGUAUCCACACAACCUGAGGUGUCCUGGAUUCGUUUCAAAGGCUGGAAAACUCUGAUAUUUGGUCUAAGAAUUGAUAAUGAGUUUGACUGUUGUCUCCGUCCAGCACUGCACAGGAGGUGGAGGACAUUGUUCAAGCUGAAGGUGCCACUCCAGCCACGGUUGGUGUUAUUGAAGGGGAAAUCCACGUUGGACUGUCAUCAGAUGAGCUCACGCACCUUGCCAAAUGCAAGAGCCCCCUAAAGG